UACGUAGGGAGCAAGCGUUGUCCGGAAUCAUUGGGCGUAAAGCGCGCGUAGGUGGCCCUGUAAGUCCGUUGUGAAAGUCAAAGGCUCAACCUUUGAAAGCCGAUGGAUACUGCAGGGCUGGAGUCCGGAAGAGGCGAGUGGAAUUCCUGGUGUAGCGGUGGAAUGCGCAGAUAUCAGGAGGAACACCAAUAGCGAAGGCAGCUCGCUGGGACGGUACUGACGCUGAGGCGCGAAAGCGUGGGGAGCGAACAGG
rnacentral:rRNA from 1 species